GCUAGGCACAGUAGCGUAUACCUGUAAUCCUAGCAACUCAGGAGGCUGAGGCAGGAGGAUUAUAAAUUAGAGGCCAGUCUCAGCAAUUUAGUGAGGCCCUAAUAAGCAAUUUAGUGAGACCCUGUCUCAA
rnacentral:sRNA from 1 species